rnacentral:tRNA from 1 species
AAGAUCGGCCCGGAAUCGAACCCGGGCUACCCGUGUGGCAGGCGAGCAUUCUACCAUUGAACCACCGAU